AGGUAUAGCUCACGUGGUAGAGUGCGUGCUUAGCAUGUAUGAAGUUCUGGGUUCAAUCCCCAGUACCU
rnacentral:tRNA from 1 species